rnacentral:misc_RNA from 1 species
GAUGAAGAACGCAGUGAAAUGCGAUAAGUAGUGUGAAUUGCAGAAUUCAGUGAAUCAUCGAAUCUUUGAACGCACAUUGCGCCCUUUGGUAUUCCAAAGGGCAUGCCUGUUCGCGCGUCAUUUGUACCCUCAAGCUUUGCUUGGUGUUGGGCGUCUUGUCUCUAGCUUUGCUGGAGACUCGCCUUAAAGUAAUUGGCAGCCGGCCUACUGGUUUCGGAGCGCAGCACAAGUCGCACUCUCUAUCAGCAAAGGUCUAGCAUCCAUUAAGCCUUUUUUUCAACUUUUGACCUCGGAUCAGGUAGGGAUACCCGCUGAACUUAAGCAUAUCAAUAAGCGGAGGA